GGAUAGAUAAGCUAAAUAAAGCUGGCGGGCUCAUGACCCGCUGAUAGGUCUAUGCCUUCUCUCCA
rnacentral:tRNA from 1 species